rnacentral:rRNA from 1 species
UACGAAGGGGGCUAGCGUUGCUCGGAAUCACUGGGCGUAAAGGGUGCGUAGGCGGGUCUUUAAGUCAGGGGUGAAAUCCUGGAGCUCAACUCCAGAACUGCCUUUGAUACUGAAGAUCUUGAGUUCGGGAGAGGUGAGUGGAACUGCGAGUGUAGAGGUGAAAUUCGUAGAUAUUCGCAAGAACACCAGUGGCGAAGGCGGCUCACUGGCCCGCAACUGACGCUGAGGAGCGAAAGCAUGGGGAGCGAACAGG